rnacentral:misc_RNA from 1 species
GAUGGAAGGACGUAGCGAAAUGCGAUAAGUAAUGUGAAUUGCAGAAUUCAGUGAAUCAUCGAAUCUUUGAACGCACAUUGCGCCCAUUAGUAUUCUAGUGGGCAUGCCUGUUCGAGCGUCAUUUCAACCCUUAAGCCCUCGUUGCUUAGCGUUGGGAGCCUACCGGGAAACUGCAGAGUUUUCUGGUAGCUCCUCGAAGACAGUGGCGGAGUCGGUCUCACACCCCAGACGUAGUAAACUUUUGUCUCGUCCGCGGUUGGGCCGGUCCCCUGCCGUAAAACCCCCCAAAUUUCUAAAGGUUGACCUCGGAUCAGGUAGGAAUACCCGCUGAACUUAAGCAUAUCAAUAAGCGGAGGA